rnacentral:rRNA from 1 species
UGGGGAAUAUUGGACAAUGGGGGCAACCCUGAUCCAGCGAUGCCGCGUGAGUGAAGAAGGCCUUCGGGUCGUAAAGCUCUUUAGGUUGGGAAGAAGGUUGAUUGGGGAUAAUCCAGUCAAUUUGACGGUACCGACAGAAUAAGCACCGGCAAACUCUGUGCCAGCAGCCGCGGUAAUACAGAGGGUGCGAGCGUUAAUCGGAGUUACUGGGCGUAAAGGGCGCGUAGGCGGUGAUGUGAGUGUGAUGUGAAAGCCCCGGGCUUAACCUGGGAAGUGCAUCGCAAACGACAUGACUGGAGUAGAUGAGAGGGUGGCGGAAUUUCCGGUGUAGCGGUGAAAUGCGUAGAGAUCGGAAGGAACGUCAAUGGCGAAGGCAGCCACCUGGCAUCAUACUGACGCUGAGGCGCGAAAGCGUGGGGAGCGAACAGG